rnacentral:rRNA from 1 species
GUGUCAGCCGCCGCGGUAAUACGAAGGGGGCUAGCGUUGUUCGGAAUUACUGGGCGUAAAGCGCGCGCAGGCGGUCUUCCAAGUCAGUGGUGAAAGCCCGGAGCUCAACUCCGGAAUUGCCAUUGAAACUGUUGGACUUGAGUACGAGAGAGGUGAGUGGAAUUCCCAGUGUAGAGGUGAAAUUCGUAGAUAUUGGGAAGAACACCGGUGGCGAAGGCGGCUCACUGGCUCGUAACUGACGCUCAAGCGCGACAGCGUGGGGAUCAAACAGGAUUAGAAACCCGGGUAGUCC